rnacentral:rRNA from 1 species
GGCGUAAAGCGCAUGCAGGUGGAUUUGUAAGUCAGGGGUGAAAUCCCGGGGCUCAACCUCGGAACUGCCUUUGAUACUGCAAAUCUCGAGUCCUGUAGAGGGGGGUAGAAUUUC